rnacentral:sRNA from 1 species
GUUUUGCGUAAGGGAUAAUAGUGGCAUCCUUUUGUGAUCUCCCAUCCCGAUUCUUGGGGAUGGGAGAUCGCAAAAGAUAUAACGGAUAGCCCGACCCGAA